GCCCAGGUGGCGAAAUUGGUAGACGCAGCAGAUUUAGGUUCUGCCGUCGAAAGACGUGGAGGUUCGAGUCCUCUUCUGGGCACCA
rnacentral:tRNA from 1 species